rnacentral:lncRNA from 1 species
CCCUCCUCUCGGUGCCCAAUAGUGGAAUUUUAGUUUCUGGCCUUGGAAACUCUUAAGGCUUUCUUAGUGCUGAUAAGAAGGAAUCUCUGAGAGAUAAGGAAAGUCACAUCCCGCGUCCUCCCAGCUGCAAGCUGGUCCUGAUGGGAGGGCAAUGGAGACCAUUCGCCGGGCGCCCCGAAGUCCUGCCAGUGCGGGGACUGGCGAGAGGCAGAAGUCUGAUCCUGCUUUCCCCCAAAACCUAUGCUGCCCCCGAGUCCUCAAGAGCCGCCCGGCAGGCAGAGAGAGGACCAUCCCGCUGGGGGCACGGGCAGCGCCCGGCCCCGUCAACCCUCCACGCUGCCACACCACCACCUUCCGCCCUGGUCCUUUUUAUUAGAAAACAGAUCAGGAAAAUAGACACACUUCGGCCCACCCGUUGGCGUGGGCUCUGGGGCAGGGGUGGGAGGCGAGGCCAGUCCAGUUCUGGGGCCCAGGCUGCAGGGAGGUGGCGGCCACCCGGCCCUGGGACACACGGUCAGGGCCACAUCCCCGAGCGGGGCAGGGGGAGCUGGGAGGGGGAGUGGCCUCGGCUGAACAGAGGUGGGGACGGAGAGUGGGCAGGGCCCCUCAUCCGUUCCGCUGGGUCUCUCUGCCCCCCGCCCCCCACAGCCAGUCCCACGCGGUCCGAAAAACCCCCCCGCCCCCCACAGCCAGUCCCACGUGGUCCGGCCCCCGGGGCAGCUGCGUCAGGCGUUGAUGGCCCUCCAGCGCUCACUGUCCAAGCUGUUGAUGCUGCCGCUGUGGCAGGGCAGGGAGGCCACGUCGUCCAGGUAGGCCACCCCGGCCGAGUCGAACUGCGUGCUGGCCGCCCCGGCCGCCUCCGGGCCCUCCCGCCGGGCCACGGCGUAGGGCUGGGGCAGGUGCAUGUCCGGCUCCUCAGUGUCGUCCACUUGGCAUUUGUAGGAGAAGAGAAUCUUGGGCUCCGAGCUGGUGGGGAAGAGAGUCAGGGGGCCUCCGUGAGUCCAGAAGGCCCUCUUUUGCUGGGGCUGGGCCCCUAACGCCCAUCCCUCGCGGUGCCCUUCCUUGUUUGCCCUUUGGGGUCCACUGGGACACGUGUGAACCCCCCAGCUCCAGCGAGUGAACCCGGGGAGCACCUGCCUUCUCACGUCAAGUGGGUGGGCAGAGUCCAGCCUGGUGAACGGCGGGCCUUAACCUGCAGGUGCGCGUAGCACGGGACGCCCACCACUCUGACCCCCGCCCGCCCCGCUCGCCACCGCCCACAGGGCACACACGUGUGCGUGCACUCGCGAG